CGUAGGAGGCAAGCGUUAUCCGGAUUCACUGGGCGUAAAGCGCGUGCAGGCGGUGCGGUAAGUUGGGCGUGAAAUCUCCCGGCUCAACUGGGAUAGGUCGUCCAAUACUACCGUACUUGAGAGCAGAAGAGGAAAAUGGAAUUCCCGGUGUAGUGGUGAAAUGCGUAGAUAUCGGGAGGAACACCAGUGGCGAAGGCGAUUUUCUGGUCUGUUUCUGACGCUCAGACGCGACAGCUAGGGUAGUAAACGGGAUUAGAGACCCCGGUAAUCCUAGCCGUAAACGAUGUGAACUUGGCGUUGGUGGGUUAAACUCCAUCAGUGCCGUAGCAAACGCGAUAAGUUCACCGCCUGGGGACUACGGCCGCAAGGUUA
rnacentral:rRNA from 1 species